UCCCUGGUGGCUCAGAUGGUAAAGAAUCUGCUUGUAAUGUAGGAGACCCAGGUUCAAACCUGGCAAAGGUA
rnacentral:tRNA from 1 species